rnacentral:rRNA from 1 species
AUGCAAGUGCAGGCGGCCGCCACCAUACAGCUUUGUCUUGCGGAUCAGGUCAUGUAUCAUGUCAUGGACGAAGAUACCCCUAAGGGAAUUUGGGACAAGUUGGCAAAUCGUUAUAUGUCCAAGUCAGCGACUAAUAAGCUGUAUUUGAAGCAAAAGUUAUAUGGGCUGAAGAUGCAGGAGGGGUCGGAUCUUGUGGACCAUGUAAAUGCCUUUAAUCAAUUGGUCACAGAUCUAGCGCGUCUCGAUGUGAAGAUUGAGGACGAGGAUAAGGCACUAUUUCUUCUUGUUUCAUUGCCACCGUCCUAUGAGCACUUGGUCAUUACAUUGACACAUGGAAAGACAACCAUCAAUAAUGAGGAAGUCACUGCAGCGUUGCUUGAACAUGAGUUGAUGAAGCAAAAGAAUGCUGCAGAAAGGGAGAGUACUCAAGGUUUGGGGUUGGCAGUUAAAGGUUAUCAGCUCAGGAAGGGACAAGAGGCGGAGAAGAAAAAAAAGAAAAAAGUGCAGUGCUGCAGGUGCAAGUAUUGGGGACAUAUAAAGAGGGAAUGCCCAGAACUGAAGGGUGGGGCAAGUGCCAAUGCGGCUACUCAUUGUGAUGGCUCGGACAAUGAUAGUGAUGUUCUCGUUGUAUCAAAGAGGCGGUCAACAAAAAAACUGAAGCGUGGAUGUUGGAUUCAGCUUGCUCUUUUUUCAUGCGACGCCCAAUAG